AUGCUCGCCAGCCCCGCCCGGCCCACAUUGCGCAUGCUUGCCAACCACGCCCUGUCCACACCACACUGCGCAUGCUCGCCGGCCCCCGCCCCGCGCACGGCGUCAGCGUCUAGACGCAGGUGCGUUCCCGUCGAGGCUCGCGCAGCGGGCGUUUUUGGGGAUCGCCUGGCGGGGGUGUUCGGGAGCCGCGGGCUGAAGCACGGGGGCGUGCAGGCGCCCAGGCCUCGUGUAGUGAGGGCCGAGCCCCGCGCCGGCUUCGCUGUAGUCCGCAGCCCCCGGCGGCUUUGUGGGCGCAGCCACGCUCCUCAGCCGCCCGCCCACCUGGGCCUGGGCCCCGGUUGUUUCCCUGCGGUGGCUGUGGUCGUUCCCGUUCCAGGGUCUCGAGCGCACCGCCCCUUCGCUGCGCUGUUAGUCGAGGGCAGUUUUCUGGGGGAUCCCCCGAUCCCCCCCGCGCCGCUCAGGCGUCUUGGCUCGCGGAAGCGCCGGCGCCGACUGCCUGGCGUCGUCCGUGACUCCUGGCCCUUGUCUGUGGAUCCCUUUGCUUCUCGUUGCGGGUUGUGUUUCCUGCUUCGUGGGCCUGGCCGUUUGCGUUUGGAUGCAGGCCCGGGUGAGCCCUGCGUGGCCCGCUGGCCUUUUCCUGCUCCCUAGGUGA
rnacentral:lncRNA from 1 species